GAUGAACGCUGGCGGCGUGCCUAAUACAUGCAAGUCGAGCGAACGGACGAGAAGCUUGCUUCUCUGAUGUUAGCGGCGGACGGGUGAGUAACACGUGGAUAACCUACCUAUAAGACUGGGAUAACUUCGGGAAACCGGAGCUAAUACCGGAUGAUAUUUUGAACCGCAUGGUUCAAAAGUGAAAGACGGUCUUGCUGUCACUUAUAGAUGGAUCCGCGCUGCAUUAGCUAGUUGGUAAGGUAACGGCUUACCAAGGCAACGAUGCAUAGCCGACCUGAGAGGCUGAUCGGCCACACUGGAACUGAGACACGGUCCAGACUCCUACGGGAGGCAGCAGUAGGGAAUCUUACGCAAUGGGCGAAAGCCUGACGGAGCAACGCCGCGUGAGUGAUGAAGGUCUUCGGAUCGUAAAACUCUGUUAUUAGGGAAGAACAUAUGUGUAAGUAACUGUGCACAUCUUGACGGUACCUAAUCAGAAAGCCACGGCUAACUACGUG
rnacentral:rRNA from 1 species